UUUCUCCAGCCGAUGAUAACUGGACAUUGGGGGUCACAUUGGAGACAUUAAAGGGACAUUACCAACUUUUGUGACUUUGUUGCUUUUGUGCCCGCCCCGGGUCAUCACAGCUUCUUUUGUGUGUAUCAUUUUAUGGGAAAUAAGUUUGUAUCUAUGAGCAAAGGUCUUUCCACAUUCUAUGCAUUUAAAUGGCUUGUCUCCUGUAUGGAUCCUCUUAUGGGAAAUAAGAUUACUUCUUUGAGCAAAGGUCUUUCCACACUCCAUGCAUUUAAAUGGUUUCUCUCCUGUGUGGAUCCUUUUGUGGCUUCUAAGGCCACUGCUCUGAGCAAAAGUCUUUCCACACUCCAUGCAUUUAUACGGCUUCUCCCCUGUGUGGAUCCUUUCAUGGGAAAUAAGAGUA